CUGAUCAAUUAAAAAAAAAAAAAAAAAAAGUAAAGAAAAAAAGAAAGAAAAAGAAAAAACCUAUCGAAUAAUAUUUAAGAAUAAAAUUGUCCUGAUUGUAUCAUAUAAGUGAUUCUCUAUUUCGACUUUUCUCUCGAAUUUUUCAUAUAUUUUUAUUAUUGUUAUAAACACAUUGAUACACACAUACACACAUAUCAUAUCGUUUUAAUCUUAGGUAUAGAUAUAAUUGUUAAAAUAACAUAAUUCAUUUAUUGCCAAAAUUUAAAUAUUUUAAAUUGUGAAUAACUAAAAAGUGAGUGCAAUAGAUUUUUUUUUUCUUUGGUUACAAGAAUGACCAAUGAAUGACUUGUAUUUGAUACGAUAUUACGAUUAUCGAAAUUAUUGCUUUCGAUUAUCGAAAUCAUUCUAGAAGUUGUCGUUAACAAUAAUUAUAGAUUGCAAUGGAUAGCUAAAAGUAUAUAUCUAUUACGUAAAUUCUCGUGAUAAUAUUUAUUGUAUAUUUUGCCUUGACUCCGUGUCUUCUUUACUGUAUACAUACUGUAUCCGGAUAUCUAGGUAUCUGAGGUAAACAACAUAAAAUUUUGACCUCCGCGUGAUCUGCUUUCUCGAUCAGUAGAAAUUUAGCAACACUCGAGGACGCAUCGUAUAAAAAGGACAAAGACGAUACGAUAUUACUUUUUGCUUUACAAGAAAAUUUCAUUUAUAGAUAUUAAUUUUAUGUAUCGUUAGUUUUCAAGAUAUCUUUUAAAUAUGCUUAGCUUUAUUAUUUCUUCAAAAUUAAAUCGGAUAAUCGUCGAAUUACGAGAAUGAGUGAGAAAGAGAGAGUGAGAGUGAGAUAGAGAGAGAGAGAGAGAGAGAUAAAGUGAGAGAAUGAUUUUCUUUUUGAAUUUAUGAUAUUUAGCGUGUGACGAAAUAUAUAUAUUUUUUUUAAUACAUAUGCAUCGAACACUUAUGUAUUCCUAGAUAUGAUAUCUAAAUAAUGUAUAAUUUUAUUUUAUUACUAAUUAUGUUAAAUCAAUACACAUGGAGACGUGAGAAACGUUUUAUUUUGAAGGAAAGAAUGUUAUAUCAUCCAGGAGUCGUAUAAUAUAAAUAAUCAACGACAGAUGGCGCAUCGAUAGAAGAAUUAGUUUCGAUCGUAAUAAAUCACGUUCGGUGAUAUUAUCCGUAGAAUAAUUCUUUUAUUUUAUCAUUUGUCGUUGAUCAUAGUUUCUUGAAGAUCUUCAAUAAGUGUUCAAUCAAAUAGAAAAAUAGAUAAAAUUCAAGGGACAAUACUGACGAAGAGAAUCAAUGUGUAUAUAUAUGUUUUUUUUAUAUGCAUAGUGUUACGCGUUUUGUAACUUAGGUUAGCUUUGUUAUAAAGUAAGGUUAGGUUUGUUAAAAAAUACGCUACAAAUGCGUACACCUGAUGUAUAGAAAAAAAAUACGUACUUACGAUCUUUACAUCGUUUCUAUUUUUCUUUUUUUUUUUUUCUUUUUUGUUACAUCACUAGUGCAUACGUCCUGGUAUUACUACUCCUUCGUGCCAUACGUGACAAGGAAUACAGAAGAAUCAUUUGUAUGGUGAUCAAGAGCAACAUAUUUUCUCGAUUUAAUGACGCUUUGCUAGUAAUGGCUCUCAUCGAUAUAGAACAAACCGUAUGUUGGGCAACACUCUGGGGAUUUGAAAAAGGGAUGGAAAAUGGUACGUCGUCAGGCAGAAUUCCCAGACGCGCGACCAAAAGUUUGAACGAUCGUGCAACAGUUGACGCACCCUCCUCGUCCAUUCUGGAAAUCCGCCCCUAUCGAUGUUGGAGGACGAGCUACGUUGGAGAACGCGCGUGCUAGAAAGAGAGGGAGGGAGAGAGGGACAGAGAGAGAGAGAGAGAGAGAGAAAGAGAGAUAUCGAAUGUUCCAUGUACGAGAAAGUAGACGUAUAACGUUGAGCUGGCCAGCUCGCCCCCAUUUCGGAAUACCAGCGUUAAAUUAUUCGAGACGCCUUCGGUGCAAGGAAUGGACCGGUGAGACGUUUUAAAGAGUCUCGAGAGUCGGACGACUAUAAAUAGGUGGACUAAGGAAGCGGUUAAAAUUAGUAUCUCGAGAGCGCCGCGGCACACCGUCUUAAGAGCGUCUCUCAACGCUACCACUCAUCCUUAGAAGUUCGGGCCGACCUUGCGACCCGAUGAAAAGGACAACGAGCGACGAAAAACGUUAGAGAACCAACUUGCCGCCCACUAACAUUCGAUUUCUUCUUGGAUCUAUCUUGAUCUUAUAUAGGGUGGACCGA